CCGGGCCAGACUCAACGGAGCUCCGUGUGCACAGCGGCUAUAGUCUGCGAUGGGAGGGCUAAAGGAGGCGAGCAGCCAAUCACAGGAGGAGGAGCAGAGAGCGGACCGGAGCGGGACCGUGAACCGGAUCGACCUGAGCGGACGACAGAUCAUCUUUUAUCAAUCCCUGGAGACCCUCUGAACCGGUGCCACGGCUCUGCGACCUCCUGCACUUGGCUGGCCCAGGCCUGCUCUUGGCUUCGUCUGUGGAUGUGGUGCCACUGAUGCUGUUCUCUCGGUCAGGGUUCCUGAACGCACCGUGAGAACCCACGUCCAGCUGUGGGUUUCCUGUGCCCUCAGCAAUUUCCUGCAGGAGCUCGGUGCUGCUGCGGCGGCGUUCAGGUUAACGCGUGUUUGUUUGGGUUGUAUCACACUUUGUGUUCACGCUGGGCUGAUCUUCAAGUGUGUGCAUGAGCGAGUGUUUGGUCGGUUUCCAUGCCAGAGAACCUGAUGCUCUGAGACGAUGACAGACGGCCAAAAGCCCUGGAGAGAGGAGGAAAAAGAAGAAAAAGAGAUGAAGCAUGAAUGAGACAGAGGCAGGUGCAGAGGACCAGAGUGCCCAUGUGGCCUGCACAGAUAAAACCUGAGAGCUCAGUUCUGGGAGGCGGAUUAUCUCUGGUUUUUAAGAGCAUUCCUCGGUGAACGUGGACUCUCGCUCACCCCGACGUCAAACCCGACAACCUCCAGCUUCCCUGCGAACGCUGACGUCAGGGGCCAAGGUUCGGACUGUGGAGUCACAGUGAGCCGGGUCCGGUCAGUCUGGUUCCGCCCAGGGCUAUUUCAGCUUCAAAGCAAACCAGCAUUAUUCCACUGGAUUCAGCCUGUUGGGAAACCAGAAGGGGAGCGAUGCAUAAAUUAGAGAAGCCAAAUAUGAGGAAAUGGUUCGAGCUGAAGGCCCUGAGUGGCACAAAUAUGGGACGGCCUGCAGCUGCUGCAUUUGAUCAGCAGAGGAGAAGCGAUACCGGGCCUCCUCCGGAUUCUUGGUGCACGACGGAGGCAUGUGGAGGUGCAGCAGGCCUGGAUGUUUCCACCGCUUAUUAUCUGAUUGAGACGCCGCUUUAAAGACAUCAAGAGCAGAGUUGUCUCUUUCCCCUUCACUCCCACAUCCUCUGUGGUGAGAAGGUCAACUUCCAGUCUGCAGUGAAACACACACACACACACACACACACACACACACACACACACACACACACACACACACACACACACACA